rnacentral:tRNA from 1 species
GCACGCGUAGCUCAGUUGGAUAGAGCGUUGGCCUCCGAAGCCAUAGGUCGCAGGUUCGACUCCUGCCGCGUGCACCA